rnacentral:rRNA from 1 species
CCUACGGGAGGCAGCAGUGAGGAAUAUUGGACAAUGGAGGCAACUCUGAUCCAGCCAUGCCGCGUGCAGGAAGACUGCCCUAUGGGUUGUAAACUGCUUUUAUACGGGAAGAAACCGCUCUACGUGUAGAGUCUUGACGGUACCGUAAGAAUAAGGAUCGGCUAACUCCGUGCCAGCAGCCGCGGUAAUACGGAGGAUCCAAGCGUUAUCCGGAAUCAUUGGGUUUAAAGGGUCCGUAGGUGGACUAAUAAGUCAGAGGUGAAAUCCUGCAGCUUAACUGUAGAACUGCCUUUGAUACUGUUAGUCUUGAAUCAUUAUGAAGUGGUUAGAAUAUGUAGUGUAGCGGUGAAAUGCAUAGAUAUUACAUAGAAUACCAAUUGCGAAGGCAGAUCACUAAUAAUGUAUUGACACUGAUGGACGAAAGCGUAGGUAGCGAACGGGAUUAGAUACCCUGGUAGUC